rnacentral:lncRNA from 1 species
GAAGAAGGGGAGAAAAACUAUUAGCGAUCUCAUGCGUACAUUGGGAAUGCAAACAUUGUCUCCUCCUCUGUCAUCAUUGGUCUUGAGUUUUGACACCAGGAAGGGGACUAACAAAAGGAACGAUAUCUUCACGGAGGCGGCUUGUAUAUUCUGGAACUGUACCUUCUAUGGGGAGACCCGGCCCUUGGGUUCAUAGCUUGUUCCCCUGGGGGCUGAAUGGACUUGGGUCAUAAGGGAAGUUUGUGAUACUUCCAUCAGGCGUGGUUCGCCCUAGCUCGCUAUGUGCUGCUUCUCCCCGUUUUUGAAAAGAAGGCAUCUUCAUGCCACAUCAGGCUUCGCCUCAAAGGAGAACACGUUUGGAGUGCCUUUCAAGUGAUGCAAACUCCCUGUACCAAACCAGUGCACAGAGUUCAUUGGGCAGCACUUUGGCUCAUUUUCCUAGGUAUAGGACAGGCCUAGAUGGGAAAAAGGCAAGGUUUGGUCUCCGAAGUAAACCCGCACUGGGGCUGGUGUUCACUCACUGAAUAGGAUACACUUUGCAAGGAGAAACGUUGCACAUUCAUCUUUUGUGGAGUUUGUAAGAUUUCCGUCCGGCGUGGAUUGCCCUAGGUCACUGUGUGCUGCUUUUUCCCGCUUGUGAAAAGAAGGCGUUUUCAUGCCACAUCAGGCUUCUCCUCAAAGGAGAACACGUUUGGAGUGCCUUUCAAGCGAUGCAAACUCCCUGCACCAAACCAGUGCACAGAGAGCACUGGGUGGCACCUUGGCUCAUUUGCCAUAUGUAUAGGAGUGGCCUAGGUGGGAAAAAGGCAAGGGUUGCUUUCCCGAGCAAACCCGCACUGGGGCUGGUGUUCGUUCACUGAGACAGGAGCUCCUGAGUGUUACAGCUCUUAAAGUCACCUCUUGACCAGGUCAAAAUGACAACGGUCUUCUACCACCUGGCUUUCUUCAGGAAGUGAUAAAAUAUCCCAACCCAACCAGCUCCUGCCCCAGGCAUCCUGUCAGGCCCUAUUGGCCAGAAUAGGGUAAGAUGCUCUCCACACCCCCAGCCACUCCUAACAAAGAGGAAGGGGAGGACCGGGAUGGAUUUCCUGCAGUCACGAUGCAUUCCCAGGUAGGGUCCAUUCGGAGCUGGAGCUGCCAGCCUAAACCACAGCCACAGCAACCCGGGAUCUGAGCCGAGUCUGCAACCUACAACACAACUCACGGCAAUGCCAGAUCCUUAACCCCCUGAGCGAGGCCAUGUUCUCAUGGAUGCUAGUCAGGUGUGUCUUACCCACUGAGCCACAAUGGGAACUCCACAUACGUUGGCUUUUACCGUUGAGUUUUGAGAGUUCUUUUGUCUGAUGUGUGCUUCGCCAACAUGUGCUCCUAGUCUGCAGCUUGUCUUUUUGUCCUAAUACAAUCUUACAGAGAAAAAAAAAAAUCGCAUUUUUGAUCAAGUCCAGUAUUAUCAACUGUCUUGUUUUAUGGAUUGCGCUUUUAGUGUCAUGUCUAAAAAGAAUUCAGCAAACUAGGUCCUGAUAUUUCCUCCUGCGCUUCCUUCUGGAAGUAUUACAGUUUGGCAUUUUGCUUUUAAAUCUAUCCUGUGGUCAAUUCGAGUUCACUUUUUUCUCAGGGCUGAAGCUCAGGUCAGGUGUUUUGGUUCAUUUGCUUUCUUUUUGUUUCUAGGCCUGUAGGUGUUCAUUGCUCUGUGGCGGUUUGUGGCAUGGACCAUCCUUCUCCGUUAAAUCAGUUUCACCUUUUGCAGGAAUCAGUCCUAUGAGUGUAGGUCCUGCUCCGUUGGUCCUGUGCCUUUUCCUCCACCACCACCAGAGUGUCCAGGUUUUGUUCUCCCUGGCCUCAUGGAGGGGCGGGGGCUGGCCUGGGAAAUUCCCUCCAGACACCCACAGCCCCAUGGAGAUGCAUCAGCCCCCAGCGAGCCCUGGAAACACGGCAGGUGGAGUGUGUGCAUGUGUUGGUGGCGCCUGAGAGCCCUCCUCGCGGAGGACCUUGCCCCAGAGCGAGUGAACAUGUACAGGCCAAGUGGCGGGAGGAGGGGUGACACAGGUUGGGUUUCAUUGAGCACUGAACACGGCAGGUGGCCUGGUGACC